rnacentral:sRNA from 1 species
UCUGGACUGUAGGAGGGCCAGUCUUCGU